rnacentral:ncRNA from 1 species
CCUGCGCCGCCAUCUCGCGAUCGGUCAGGCCACCACAGAUUUGAAUCAGGCGGUCAGAGAGCGUCGAUUUACCAUGGUCAAUGUGCGCGAUGAUGGAGAAGUUUCUUAUGUGCUUCAUUUAUAUGAAUAUCUUCACGUAGAAAAACAGUUGAGAACCUGAGCACAGACACAUUCAGGAAGAUCGCUCUUUACCUACAAUCCUGUCAGCCUCAUUAAUGACGACGCAUAUUACACUGUUAAGGCCGCGCAUAAAAGAAUGGAACGUUGCGGAAUCACAACACUUUUUGGCGAGAAACAGGCGCUAAAAGGCCGCGAUAUACGCGGCCUGCAGAGGAUUAGGCUUCGCUUUCCACGCGCAGGGCGUCAGGCGGAAGCGCCACGCUCAGAAUGACCGGCUGAAAAGCGGCGCGAUCGCCGACUUUCAGCGACACGCCUUUGGCGACGAUAAAGCCGCCGAUGCCGCCGAGCAGCGCGCCGCAGGCCGCCGCCAGAUCGCUGUGAAACAGCGCCUGGAACAGGCCCGCCAGCAGAAACAGUCCAAACAGCGGCGUCAUAUAGAUCAGCAGCGCCGAACCGAGCAGGCUGCUCUCUUUGAUGCCGAGUUCAAUGCGCUGACCGGGCUGAAGCGGCGUCGCGCUGGCGAUUUCCAUCACGUGAGCGUCUUUCGGCCCCAGUUUGUUCAGCAUGUGGCUGCCGCAGCCUUUACGCGCCGAGCAGCUGUUGCAGGAGGUUUUCGCCUCCGUAUGCAGCGUGGCGAUGCCAUCAUGCCAUGCCACCACCGUGGCCCACUCUCUCAUCAUCGUUGCGACCCCAAAUCAAUACUGUCCGCUAUGCG